AUGUUUCGGAUGAUUCUUGUGAGCAGACUGAACCUGUUGGAGAAGAGAUGUUUGACUAUCUUUCUCCCCAUUGAGUUGAGGCUUUAUGCUCCCAUGAAGUUUGAACAUCAGAGUUUAAAGACAUACACUAUUGGAAAGUUUAUUACUUUUAUAUGCAAGUCUUCCCUUGAAGAGUUAGCUCCGAGGUGUUAA